UACAGAGGUCUCAAGCGUUGUUCGGAUUCAUUGGGCGUAAAGGGUGCGUAGGCGGCGCGGUAAGUCGGGUGUGAAAUCUUGGAGCUUAACUCCGAAACUGCAUUCGAUACUGCCGUGCUUGAGGACUGGAGAGGAGACUGGAAUUUACGGUGUAGCGGUGAAAUGCGUAGAUAUCAGGAGGAACACCUGUGGUGUAGACGGCUCUCUGGACCGCAACUGACGCUGAGGAGCGAAAGCGUGGGGAGCAAACAGG
rnacentral:rRNA from 1 species